GCACAACGCGAAGAACCUUACCUACCCUUGACAUGUCUGGAAUCCUGAAGAGAUUUAGGAGUGCUCGCAAGAGAACCGGAACACAGGUGCUGCAUGGCUGUCGUCAGCUCGUGUCGUGAGAUGUUGGGUUAAGUCCCGCAACGAGCGCAACCCUUGUCAUUAGUUGCUACGAAAGGGCACUCUAAUGAGACUGCCGGUGACAAACCGGAGGAAGGUGGGGAUGACGUCAAGUCCUCAUGGCCCUUAUGGGUAGGGCUUCACACGUCAUACAAUGGUCGGGACAGAGGGUCGCCAACCCGCGGAGGGGGAGCCAAUCCCAGAAACCCGAUCGUAGUCCGGAUCGCAGUCUGCAGCUCGACUGCGUGAAGUCGGAAUCGCUAGUAAUCGCGAAUCAGAAUGUCGCGGUGAAUACGUUCCCGGGUCUUGUACACACCG
rnacentral:rRNA from 1 species